CUCUGCUGCUUCCUCAAACCCUACGGGUUGGGCUGGAUCAGAAUGGGAGGUUAAAAGGGCAAAUAGCAUCAUGGGAGCCAAACAAAUGAAAUGCCUCAGUUCAUCCAGUCCAGCACACACACCCAAGGAAGAGUACAUUAUUGCCAAAUCUGAAGAUUCAGGAGAGCUAGUGUGCAACCACACAGAGCAACCACAAAGCCUAGAGGAUGUAGUGAAAUCCUCAGCCACAGAGCCGUCUCCUGGCCCAGAGCAUGCUGGGAAAGAG